AGAAUCAACGCUGGCGGCGUGCCUAACACAUGCAAGUCGAACGCGGUUACCCCGCAAGGGGUAACUGAGUGGCAAACGGGUGAGUAACGCGUGGGUGACCUACCUUCGAGUGGGGGAUAACGUUUCGAAAGGAACGCUAAUACCGCAUGACAUCCUGCCUUUGGACAGGCGGAGAUCAAAGCCGGGGAUCGCAAGACCUGGCGCUUGAAGAGGGGCCCGCGUCCGAUUAGCUAGUUGGUGGGGUAACGGCUCACCAAGGCGACGAUCGGUA
rnacentral:rRNA from 1 species